AGAGUUUGAUCAUGGCUCAGAACGAACGCUGGCGGCGUGCUUAACACAUGCAAGUCGCGUGCGCAGUUUCCUGUAGCAAUACAGGGGAUAGGCGCACGGCGCACGGGUGCGUAACACGUGGGCAAUCUGCCCUCCGAUGGGGAAUAACCCCGCGAAAGCGGGGCUAAUACCGCAUAACAUUCCUUGAGCGACGGUUCGAGGAUUCAAAGCAGCAAUGCGUCGGAGGAGGAGCCCGCGCCCGAUUAGUUAGUUGGUGAGGUAACGGCUCACCAAGACAAUGAUCGGUAGCUGGUCUGAGAGGACGAUCAGCCACACUGGAACUGAGACACGGUCCAGACUCCUACGGGAGGCAGCAGUGGGGAAUCUUGCACAAUGGGCGAAAGCCUGAUGCAGCGACGCCGCGUGGGGGAUGAAGCUUUUCGGAGUGUAAACCCCUUUCGCCUGGGACGAAUGCCUCGCAAGAGGAGUGACGGUACCAGGAUAAGAAGCCCCGGCUAACUACGUGCCAGCAGCCGCGGUAAGACGUAGGGGGCCAGCGUUGUUCGGAAUUACUGGGUGUAAAGGGUUCGUAGGCGGUGUGGCAAGUUGGGAGUGAAAUCUCUGGGCUCAACCCAGAGGCUGCUUCCAAAACUGCUGUGCUUGAGUGUGAGAGAGGCUCGUGGAAUUGCAGGUGUAGCGGUGAAAUGCGUAGAUAUCUGCAGGAACACCCGUGGCGAAAGCGGCGAGCUGGAUCACUACUGACGCUGAGGAACGAAAGCUAGGGGAGCAAACAGGAUUAGAUACCCUAGUAGUCC
rnacentral:rRNA from 1 species